UCUACUUAAUUGUGGAUAUGCAAACAAUCUUGUUGUUCCAUUUCUGUUUUUCUCAAAUUUUACUCUCAAUUCUCGUCGAUUAUUGAAGUGCCGCUUGAGAAGUUACAAUUGAAAAAAUAUGUUUUUAAUGUGAUUUACUAUCCUGUUUAUAGUUUUGUUAAAAUAAUCAUUUUUAUUGCCAUUUUUCAGUAUGAAGAAAUAGUGAGCGAGUGUAAUAUAUAUGGCAAGAUGAAAAUAUGCCACGUUUAUCCAUCAACCCGUAUCACAGCAGCAUUGUUAAGCUUCUAACCUCAAAAAGGAGAGGAGGCCUUUGCCCAGCAGUGGAACAGGCUGUUAUUUUAAAGACCUUUUGCUCUCCACUGCUGGACGAAAGCCGCCCAUAGAACGCCAACCAUCCCGAUCUUGGGCAGUCCGCAUCAUAUAAAUAUCAUGGGAGUAGUUAUUAUAUGCCACAACAGCUGGACGCCAAUGUGGUACCUGUUAACAUAUACCAAUGUUCCCUUAGUUAACGAAAUUCGACAAAAAUAAUUAUUGAAAAUUUUAGAAAAACAUAUAUCAAUUUGCUACUUGUUU